AUACACAGAAAAUAGUUUCUGAAACGACGACGAAGCAGCAGAGUGCUCUAUGCGUCUUUAUAUCAAAGCUACGAGAAGUUCAACAUGAGUUUGUCCUCCACAGAAGAUCUGAAGAUGUGAGGCGCCGGCGUUACGGACUGUUGAAGUUACGGGCCAACACUGCGGGUGACUCAUCGCUAUUUGGCAACAGCUCAUGGGAAGCAGGAAUUUGAUCCGCAUCCAAUGAACUGGAAUUCUGGUUAAUACUCAGCCUGCAUCGGUCCAUACAACCACGGUGUGAACACGACAACAGAAUCAGGGGAAGGUGCUGGAUCUGACAUUCCUGCACAAAAACAAUAAGUCUGCAGAAGAUCUGACCGGCGAUGGUGCAUGAAUGCAUUUCAAACAUAGCAGACAAGAGACUCUAAACUCUUCUUAUCGCCUCAGAUAAACACCUGAGGGCAAACCUGUGGUGCAGAAACUU